AGGAACCCAAGGAGCAAACGGGAGAGUUGGAAAAGAGAAUGAGAGAUUUGGAAAAGAGAAUGAAGGAACUCCAGGAGAAAAAGGAGGAACCCCAGGAGCAAAUGGAACAACUCCAGGAGGAAAAGGGAGAAAUGGAAAAGACAAUAAAGGAACCCCUGGAGGAAAUGGGUGA